AGGAAAUGCUUGAUAUCAUGAAAGCAAUAUAUGAUAUGAUGGGGAAAUGCACCUAUCCUGUUCUCAAGGAGGAUGCGCCUAGACAACAUGUGGAAACAUUUUUCCAGAAAAUGGACAAAAACAAAGAUGGAGUAGUUACCAUAGAUGAAUUCAUUGAGAGCUGCCAGAAAGAUGAGAAUAUAAUGCGAUCCAUGCAGCUCUUUGAAAAUGUGAUUUAACGAAGACGUUAGGUCUGCAACUAAUGGACAAAUACGAGCUAUUCUGCAACAUUAUCUAAAAGAUGGAUUUCCCACUUUAUCAUAAAUAAAAUUACUCAGCUUUACACUGAGACAUGUA